ACAAACAAGCAGAGCACAGAGGAUUUUGAGGGCAGUGAAACUAUUCUGUUUGACACAGUAACUGGUGGAUGCCUUUGUCCACACCCAAAGAACGUGAACCCUAAUGUCAACCAUGCACUCUGGUGAUUGUCAUGUGUCAGUGUAGGUCCAUCAGUUGUAACCAAUGGACCACCGUCGUGAGGGAUGCUGAUGGAGAGCCAGGGCUGGUGGUUGCAGCGCGGAAGGCGGUAGGAGUCGUUGGUUUUACAGGCGGUGCUGUGCCUUUGGACUCGGAACAGGUGAAGAAUCUGGCCAGGCAGUUCUGACUUCGCCGCCCUCCCGUGGCUGCCGUAACUCGGGGACUCGCUGGGCUGGACGUGCCAGCUGGGCUGCUCAUGUGGCAGACAGGACGACCAAUGCCGGCACUCAGCAGCUGAGCUGCACUGUCGGUGGAAGCACUAGGGUGACCUCUCCAAAAGAGGGGGUCUCGGGGUGGCCGGGCUUGUCACAGAAGGGCUCAGCACUCCGCAUGUGUCUCUACAUGCAUGGGUCACCACAUGGCCUCUUCUGAGCCAGGCCUGGCAGUCCCACAGGUCACUGCUGUCACACUCCACUGGCUGAAGCAGUCCUGGCUCUGCCCAGAUUCAAGGGUCACAUGCCUUGACAGUGUGAGUGGAAAGUCAUACUGCAGAAGCGCAAACAGGCUGGGAGGCAAAGGCGGAGCCACCCCUGGGAAACGCCAUUCAUCACACCUCACUAGGCUGAUGACACAGUUUUAUCUCAGGAAGCCAUUAACGGCGUGCCUCUACUUCCCAAACUGAUGUUCUCAUUGUUGAAAUGCCCAGACAUGGAAGCCAACGUUCAUUCCAGUGACAAGUUGCCCGUUCCAAAAUCACACUGAAGACAGUGGGAAAAUCCACUCCCUGGUCAGGAUCUCAACGUUCACAAAACUGAGCCCCAUGGUGGG